AGAGAGAGAGAGAGAGAGGAGGGUGAAGAAUAGAGUGAAUUUUUGAACUAAUUCUUGCUUUUUAUUAAUUUGUGGGCAAUCCUUGUGAAAUUUCAUAAAUUCUUUAUUUAUAUAUAUGUUGUUGUUCUUUCUCUUUCGUCUUAAUUUGUAAUUGCAUUAUUGAAUAAUAAUAUGAAAAUAACACUCAUAAAUUGAUACCGAUA
rnacentral:misc_RNA from 1 species